rnacentral:rRNA from 1 species
AGGGAUCAUUAUCGAGUUUUAAAACGGGUUGUAGGGGGCUUUCCGAGGCAUGUGCACCCCCUUCUCAUCCACUUUACACCUGCGCACUUACUGGGGGUUUCGGGAGUUUNAAAAGCGAAAAAAAGGCCCUCCCCGGGUUUUUUUUUGCCUAGUUGUUACGGGGCCUACGUUUCACCACAAACACUUAUAAAGUAUCAGAAUGUGUAUUGCGAUGUAACGCAUCUAUAUACAACUUUCAGCAACGGAUCUUUUGGCUCUCGCAUCGAUGAAGAACGCAGCGAAAUGCGAUAAGUAAUGUGAAUCGCAGAAUUCAGUGAAUCAUCGAAUUUUUGAACGCCCAUUGCGCUCCUGGGUUUUCCGGGGAGCACCCCUGUUUGAGUCUCAAAAAAUUCUCACCCUAAGGAUUUUUUAACGGGACUUGUUUAGGCUUGGACUGGGAGGUUCUGUUCGGCUGGCUUCAAGGCCAAUUCGGUUCUUCUUAAAUCCAUUAGCUUGGUUCCUGUGGGGAUCGGCCCCCGGUGUGAUAAUGGUUUACGCCGCGCCCGUGGAAGCGUUUUAUAGGCCAGCUUCUAGUCGUCUCUUUACGAGACAAUAAUCAUCGAACUCUGACCUCAAAUCAGUAGAAGCCCGUCCCG